rnacentral:lncRNA from 1 species
AUCUCUUCUUUUCGAUCGGAUUCACUUGGUCGUAACGACUCUGAAUCCAUUCAGCAUCAGUCAACUCGGGACUUUGAGGGCGCUGUUUUUCUUUUGUUUCUUUCUUUCUUUUUUCUUUCCUUUUGUUUUCGAUUUCUUUUGAUUUCUUUUGAUUUUGCACCCUCCUCUUUCUUUUCUUUUUUUUCUUUGUUUUUUUUUUGUUUGUUUUUUUUGUUUGUAAUGCCCCAGUUGGCUGUUCUGCUGAUU